rnacentral:misc_RNA from 1 species
ACAUAGUAGGAGCGGUGGAUAGAAGUCAAUAGUUUUAUGAAUUUGUAGAACAUUACACUUAAUUUUUGUUUGUACUUAUUUCUUUAUUGCGUAAAAUUUUGUUAGUGUAUUUGUUAAGGAUAUUUAUUUAAAAAAAAAAAAAAAAAAAAA